rnacentral:rRNA from 1 species
CGGAGAGUUUGAUCCUGGCUCAGGAUGAACGCUGGCGGCGUGCUUAACACAUGCAAGUCGAACGAUGAAGCCCAGCUUGCUGGGUGGAUUAGUGGCGAACGGGUGAGUAACACGUGAGUAACCUGCCCUUAACUCUGGGAUAAGCCUGGGAAACUGGGUCUAAUACCGGAUAGGAGCGUCCACCGCAUGGUGGGUGUUGGAAAGAUUUAUCGGUUUUGGAUGGACUCGCGGCCUAUCAGCUUGUUGGUGAGGUAAUGGCUCACCAAGGCGACGACGGGUAGCCGGCCUGAGAGGGUGACCGGCCACACUGGGACUGAGACACGGCCCAGACUCCUACGGGAGGCAGCAGUGGGGAAUAUUGCACAAUGGGCGAAAGCCUGAUGCAGCGACGCCGCGUGAGGGAUGACGGCCUUCGGGUUGUAAACCUCUUUCAGUAGGGAAGAAGCGAAAGUGACGGUACCUGCAGAAGAAGCACCGGCUAACUACGUGCCAGCAGCCGCGGUAAUACGUAGGGUGCGAGCGUUAUCCGGAAUUAUUGGGCGUAAAGAGCUCGUAGGCGGUUUGUCGCGUCUGUCGUGAAAGUCCGGGGCUUAACCCCGGAUCUGCGGUGGGUACGGGCAGACUAGAGUGCAGUAGGGGAGACUGGAAUUCCUGGUGUAGCGGUGGAAUGCGCAGAUAUCAGGAGGAACACCGAUGGCGAAGGCAGGUCUCUGGGCUGUAACUGACGCUGAGGAGCGAAAGCAUGGGGAGCGAACAGGAUUAGAUACCCUGGUAGUCCAUGCCGUAAACGUUGGGCACUAGGUGUGGGGACCAUUCCACGGUUUCCGCGCCGCAGCUAACGCAUUAAGUGCCCCGCCUGGGGAGUACGGCCGCAAGGCUAAAACU